UACGUAGGGGGCUAGCGUUGCUCGGAAUCACUGGGCGUAAAGCGCACGUAGGCGGCUUUCUAAGUCAGGGGUGAAAUCCUGGAGCUCAACUCCAGAACUGCCUUUGAUACUGGAGAGCUCGAGUCCGGAAGAGGUGAGUGGAACUGCGAGUGUAGAGGUGAAAUUCGUAGAUAUUCGCAAGAACACCAGUGGCGAAGGCGGCUCACUGGCCCGAUACUGACGCUGAGGCACGAAAGCGUGGGGAGCAAACAGG
rnacentral:rRNA from 1 species